rnacentral:hammerhead_ribozyme from 1 species
AUCCAUCUGACGAGUCCUAAACGGGACGAAACUCGCGUCCUAGAU